rnacentral:lncRNA from 1 species
UGUUUAUAUUGUUUAUGAACGUGCAGGUAUAGCUGAAAACUUAGACAUUUUAAGAAAAUUAAAAAUGCUGCUUUUCUGUAAUUUUAUCGUUGCUUCAUGCAAUAUAACUGCUGCUGAUUCAGAUUGCUUUCUAUGGGAAGAGAUCUCUGCCAGUUUCUUUAUUAACGGUCAAGAUCAAUUCUUCUGUACUGAAAUUUUCCAUACACAGAUACAAGUCAGUCAGGUUGGAACUGAGACUCCAUAGAGGCUCUCGUAUUCCUAUGGGUGUGCAUGUCUGGAUUCAUAUGCAAUCUAGAUUAUUCCUGUGGUCAAUCCUCCCCAUCUUCUGGUGUGAUUUCUGUCUCUUUAUGUACCACUACUUUGGUCACUGACAUGUCAGGGUGCUGCUCUUUGGCUUCUUUAAUUGCCUGAGCCAGCGCCUGAUCAUGAUCAAUAUCUGCAUCUCCUGUGAUGACUAUUCGUUUUUCGAUUCUUGUUUCUGAGAUGCCUCCUUUCACAGUUUUGGUGAUAUGUGUAGUGGUUGUAGUGCUGGUGGUUUCAGACGUGAUAGUUUGUGCACUCAUCAGCACACCAGGCUCUGAGUCAGCACCACUAUCCACCUGUGAAGACUCAUAUGUAAUGGUUUUUGUUUCUGUAUGGACUACUGGCACUUCCUUUGUUGAAAUUUCAAGGUUUUCCCCCCCAGUAGAAACACUACUGAAACUGAUUGUUUCAGUCUUCACAACUGGUGACUCAAAACGAGGUUUUCUUUCCAAAGAGUCUGAAACGUGGACUGUUGUACUGUGCUCCUCCGCUUGCUCAUGAGAAGUAGCAGCAGCAAUGCCUUCCUGUUUGGUUACAGCUUUGUGAGCCUCCCUUUUUUCCUCUUUAGCCCCCUUAGUCACAGCAGAGCCCUCCUUCCCUUUUGCGCUAGCAGAUGCUGCCUGAGCCUGGGCAUCCGCAAGUCCAGCCACUGAAGCGGGAUCCCCACUUGCAUGCACAUUCAUCCCACGUCUCUCCUCGAUAACCACAGUCUCCUGUACAACCUUUGUCACUGCAUCCUGGUGUGGCUGAGCCGCUUGCUUCAAUUCACUGGAAGUUACCUCCUGAGAUGUCGUCGUGUCUAUUCUCUGCAUUUCAAGGAAUGUAGUACCUCCUUUCUGCAAUACUAUGAGUUUUUCUGAUUUUUCUCUUUCUUCUUUGGUCUCUUCAGGCACUAGUGGUUCAAUCAUAGGAGCCUCCUCCUGCCUUGCUGCAAGCCGAACGGGAGAUGUGGAAAGCCUCUUCUCCCACUCAUUAGACACAGCCGUUUCUGUGGAGGUUUCCAAGAAGGUUCGUUUCAGCUCGCUUAUAUUGGUCUGAUGUUUCAUCAGAUCUUCCUGGGUUUUGUCUAGGUCCUUUGUGUCAUGGCGUACUGCUGAGAUGGGGGUGACUUCCUCUGCUCUUUUCUUUUUGCCCUCUUCAUCAUCUUUCUCUUCUUCUGCCUUUUUCUCCGGAGUCACAGUGGUUAUCAAAUUGGUCUGAGAGAUGCCCUUUGUUGUGGCGUACUGGCCAGUACCAAC